CCUCCUCUGCCUUGACGGCAGCGUGGCUGCCAUUCUGGAUCCCCAACCCGGUCACUUGUGCGUGGCGUGCGUGUUGUUUUUUGGUCGGUGCUCGUGUUUCUGCGUUCGCUCGUGUCUCUGCGCUCGCUUGCGUCACCAUGCCCGGGUGCUGUGUGCCGCGGUGCAGCAAUCAUUCUAGGAACGGCUGGAAGCUGUACCGAUUUCCAAGAGACCCAAAAAGACGGCUUCUUUGGACGGUAAAAGUCAAGCGUGACAAGUGGCGUCCGAUGAAUGCAUCACACAUUUGCAGCGCUCACUUUGAACCGAAGAACUACUAGCAAAACCGAGUGGAUGGUUGGAAAAAGCUGAAAACGAAUGCAGUCCCAGCUUUGUUCUCCUUCAGACGUAUGUUUUUAAGUUUACUCUGGCAUUACAUUAUGAAGUAUCGAUUACAGGCAUUGUGUGCAUGAAGCUGCAACUUCAAUACGGUUAAAACCAAAGAGGAACGUUUAUGCUGUGUCCAAAUUACUUCAUACAUUGUAAACGUCUGAGUGUAGUUCACGGUCUCAAGGCAAUGACCAGCCACACUGGCAGCAGCUUUCCGCUAUCGGGCACGAGGCUGUGCACUUGUUAUAAUCUCACGUGUAGUGACUAUUUUACUCAAACAAAAACACUCAUGUACACGAGACCACAAUGUACGUGAAAAGAUACCUGGUGGCCUACUUUAUUUUAAGCCCUCCACUAACGCCCUCUCAUGGCCCACAUCUAGCUUGGGGCACAUGGAGCUCGGAUUCAAAUUAGAGGCUUUUUUCUGUAGGGACAAAUUUUUAAUACAAUUUGGUUAUGAUACUGUGGAAACUCCGUAAAUAUGCAUUAGGCAAAAAUUAGUCAGUUAGCAAAGUGUACAAUGAAGUCCACGGUUCAAUGAAUAUUAAUAGGGUGAAACAAGCUUUUCCCUAUACCAGGGGAAAAGGAUGGGGGAACAACCUUCCCAGCUUUGAGAAUGACCUUCCUAGGUUUAAUGACCAUUCAGAUACCAGCAGCAUUGGUUACGUUAUGAAACUAACGACAGGCUUGACAUAAACUUGCAUUACAUGGAAACAUUUAAAAAUACAUAUGUUUCUGCUUUCACCGCUGCCCA